rnacentral:rRNA from 1 species
UACGUAGGCAGCAAGCGUUGUUCGGAGUUACUGGGCGUAAAGAGUAUGUAGGCGGUUGGGUAAGUUUGGUGUGAAAUCUCCCGGCUUAACUGGGAGGGUGCGCUAAAGACUGCCUGGCUCGAGUGUGGGAGAGGAAAGCGGAAUUCCUGGCGUAGCGGUGAAAUGCGUAGAUAUCAGGAGGAACACCUGCGGUGUAGACGGCUUUCUGGACCAUAACUGACGCUGAGAUACGAAAGCGUGGGUAGCAAACAGG